UACGAAGGGGGCUAGCGUUGCUCGGAAUUACUGGGCGUAAAGCGCACGUAGGCGGCUCUUUAAGUCGGGGGUGAAAUCCUGGAGCUCAACUCCAGAACUGCCUUCGAUACUGGAGAGCUCGAGUCCGGGAGAGGUGAGUGGAACUGCGGAGUGUAGAGGUGAAAUUCGUAGAAUAUUCGCAAGAACACCAGGUGGCGAAGGCGGCCUCAGCUG
rnacentral:rRNA from 1 species